GUACUCGCUUUGGCAGCACAUAUACUAAAAUUGGAACAAUACAGAGAGAUUUGCUUGACCCCUACACAAGGAUGACACACAGAUCUGUGAAGCAUUCCAUAUUUUU